GGGCUUCCGUCCCGCCUCCAUUGUCCCUAUAUUGGGCGGGCCGGCUUGCCGGCUAUGGCGAUAAAUGGCCGUCGUAAUAAACCUUUCGGACCCGGGGGCGGUACCCGGCGCCUCCACCCGAGCCCAGUGCGGCGCGUCAGCGCCGGCCCGCUGGGCUCCGGCGGGGGCGAAACAGGAUCGACGAGGGCGUAAAGGACGCGCUUUUGCCCGGCAUGGUUCCGCCGUUAUCGGGCCACUGCAAUAGUUGCCAACGACAACUAUGCUCCGGUUGCUCAGGCCGCGUAAGCGGUUUGAAAGACCGAUCUUCAAGCCCUGACGGGUAGCACCGGCAGGCGGGGUUCGGAGGCACCUGGCAACAGAAGCCUCCACU
rnacentral:tmRNA from 2 species